UCCAAGCGUGCUGUUUGCUUUCCAGUUGCGGAUGGGACAUCUUGUUGCUUUGGAAUCAGAUACUACUAACAUGAAUUUUAUUGUUUAAUGCAGAUUUUGGUGCAACACAUCAAAAAACUCCUUCCAGGAUUGAAAUCACGCAUUAGUGCUGGACUUGUGUCUGUCGCAAAGGAGCAUGCUAGCUAUGGGGAGAUCACCGAGUCAAAGGCUGGUAUGGGUGCUCUCCUUCUGAACAUUCUUUCCAAGUACAGUGAAGCAUUCUCUUCAAUGAUAGAAGGCAAAAAUGAAGAAAUGUCAACUUCUGAGCUUUCUGGUGGAGCAAGGAUUCAUUACAUUUUUCAGAACAUAUUUGUGAAAAGUUUGGAGGAAGUUGAUCCUUGUGAAGAUUUAAGCGAUGAUGACAUCCGAACUGCCAUUCAAAAUGCAACCGGUGCCAAAUCUGCAUUAUUUGUGCCAGAGGUCCCUUUUGAAGUUCUCAUCCGAAGGCAAAUAGCACGAUUAAUGGACCCGAGUUUUCAAUGUGCACGAUUUAUAUAUGAUGAGCUGGUUAAAAUGAGCCAUCGUUGUAUGGUCAAUGAGUUGCAACGUUUUCCAAUUUUGAGAAAGCGCAUGGAUGAGGUUAUUGGAAAUUUUUUGCGUGAAGGACUGGGACCUUCAGAAGUAAUGAUUGGACACCUUAUUGAGAUGGAGAUGGAUUACAUAAAUACUUCACAUCCAAAUUUUAUUGGUGGGACUAAAGCUCAUGAGAUGGCAUUACAGCAGGUCAAGUCCUCUAGGAUUGCUGCACCGAAUCCGAGGCAGAAAGAUGGCGUAGAUUUAGAAAAAGCACCAACCUCUGAAAGAAGUCUAAAAUCACGUGCUAUACUUGCCAGAUCAGUUGGUGGUUUUGUCCCUGAUCAGGUUGUUCGGCCUGCUCCAGAAGUUGAGAAAACUACAGCAUCAGGAUCAAAUGUUGGUUCAAGUUGGGGAAUAUCAUCAAUAUUUGGUGGCUCGGACAAUCGUGCAUCUGUAAAAGACAAUUUCAUUAACAAGCCAUUCAGUGAUACUGCACUGAGCAUGGAUCAUGCUUUCUCAAUGAUCCACUUGAGAGAGCCCCCAAGUGUCUUGAGGCCUUCAGAAACUCAUUCAGAUCAGGAAACUAUUGAAAUUGCCAUUACAAAACUGUUAUUGCGGUCAUACUAUGACGUUGUCAGGAAGAAUAUUGAAGACUCGGUACCUAAAGCAAUCAUGCAUUUUCUGGUAAAUCACACCAAAAGAGAUCUUCACAAUGUGUUCAUCAAGAAACUCUACAGAGAAAACCUCCUCGAAGAAAUGUUGCAAGAACCUGAUGAGAUAGCCAUGAAGAGAAAGCGUACACGUGAGACACUUCGUGUUCUUCAGCAAGCUUUCAAGACAUUGGAGGAGUUACCACUUGAUGCUGAGACAGUUGAAAGGGGUUAUAGCUUGGGUACUGAUCUGACAGGCCUUCCAAAGAUUCACGGGCUUCCAUCAUCAUCAAUGUACACUACAAGCAGUGGCUCAACUGGUUCACAUACCAGUUCUCCAAAGAGCUCUAGAUUGCGCAAUGCAUCCCAUUCAGGUGAGCUACAGUUACCAAUGUAUGGUGGUGUAGAUUCAAACGGUGGUGGGCAUAAUGCUGGUAUUUAUCCAACAGUAGGUGUAUAAGAGACUCAAUAGAUGCAGGGUUUGAUCAUUCACGAGUAAUUUAUUUGCUCUCUCCACCAUCAUUGCAAAACCCGUCUCUGGUGCAGUGGAGUGCUACUAUUUUUUGUCAUGGGCAAUGUUUUGCUGAGCUGAUCGCUAUUGGCUUUUACCCACUUACUGUCUAUUUCUAUGUCAACUAUAAAUUCAUUGUUCGUAGAAGCUGUACGAAAUAAGAGGGGACUUUUCGUCUUUAUAGGAAGAGGCUAGUUUUGUUGCCUUUCGUUAUGAUAGUUGGCAAUUUAUUUUCUAGCCGCCAAUUUUUGAGUUCGAUACUUCAUUUGCUUUCUCAAUUUUGUCAAAUGUGAUAGUAGGAAAUAUCAUCACUUGUGUAUAAUAUGCCUUCUUAUUUUGGGAAAUUCUUGUCAUUUUCUGCACAACGAUGUUCCCCACCAAUACAGAUUACUGUAAUUUGAACG
rnacentral:misc_RNA from 1 species